AAAGAACAUGGAUUAGUUAACUACAUCCAAAACAAAGGUUCUGUCAAGUGGGCCUAAUUAAUGGUUCGAGUAGGCGAAGUGUGAUCUGAUUUGACCGAAAGCCCAAAUGAUUCAACCCAAAUUCACACUCAGCUCCAUUAUACUUUUUCAGCAGAGGAGAAAAGCAGCAGAGGAGAAGAGAAAAUGGGGAGAAGGAAGGGAGUCCAGUUCGAUGAAGGAGCUCCGGAUGACUUCGACCCGGACAAUCCAUACAAGGACCCGGUGGCUUUCUUCGAGACGAGGGAGCAUUUAGUUAGGGAGAAAUGGAUCGACAUUGAAAAGGCGAAGAUACUCCGUGAAAAGCUGCGUUGGUGUUACCGUAUAGAGGGUGUGAAUCACCUUCAGAAAUGUCGACACCUUGUCCAUCAGUACCUUGAUUCCACUCAUGGUGUUGGCUGGGGCAAAGACCUUCGCCCCCCUGCUCUUCAUGGUCCAAAGGUUGAAGCUUUGGGAUCGUUAUGAUCAUUUUCUUUGGUCCAAUUUCUCAGGUUAUGGUGCAUCAUAGGAGAUGACAAAUUUCAGCAAAAAAAUUCAAAUAGGAUUGCCGAUUGGGGCUAUCUGAUUUCAAAUGACACUUUAGGAUGGAAAAUAUAUCAUGAUGGACAUAAACAAAAGGUGAAAAUAUAACUGGGAAGAUGCCAAUAGUUGCAUUGGCUUUUAACCUCAGCUUUUGCUAUUGUUAGAAACAUAUGUAUGUCAUUACUGGAAAUAAAGAGAAAAAAUCAUUGCCGUUUGCUUUGUUUCGUCCUCAUCCUAAAUGGUGAUAUUCAGCCAGUCCCUAAAGCUGAUCAAAACAGAAUGUGAAAGAUUAAUGUGUGAAUUGAGGACUUUCAGAUAAGACUAAAUGGAGCUUUUAUUAUCAUUUCCGUAUUAUGUUAGUCUUCGAUUUCGAUUUUUA